rnacentral:rRNA from 1 species
GACGAACGCUGGCGGCGUGCUUAACACAUGCAAGUCGAACGAAGUGGCGAACGGGUGAGUAACGCGUAAUCAACCUGCCCUUCAGCGGGGGACAACAGUUGGAAACGACUGCUAAUACCGCAUACUGAAGGAGGGGAUUGCGUCGGAUUAGCUGGUUGGGGGGGUAACGGCCCACCAAGGCGAUGAGCAGUAGCCGGUCUGGGAGGAGGAACGGCCACAAUGGGACUGGGACACGGCCCAGACCCCUACGGGAGGCAACAAGGGGGAAACUUCCGGAAUGGGCGAAAGGCUGACGGGGCAAAGCCGCGUGAGUGAUGACGGCCUUCGGGUUGGAAAGCUCUGUUAAUCGGGACGCGGUACCGGAAGAGAAAGCCACGGCUAACUACGUGCCAGCAGCCGCGGUAAUUC